rnacentral:rRNA from 1 species
UACGGAGGGGGCUAGCGUUGUUCGGAAUUACUGGGCGUAAAGCGCACGUAGGCGGCUUUGCAAGUCAGAGGUGAAAGCCCGGGGCUCAACCCCGGAAUUGCUUUUGAGACUGCAUCGCUAGAAUUGUGGAGAGGUAAGUGGAAUUCCGAGUGUAGAGGUGAAAUUCGUAGAUAUUCGGAAGAACACCAGUGGCGAAGGCGACUUACUGGACACAUAUUGACGCUGAGGUGCGAAAGCGUGGGGAGCAAACAGG